CUCUAAAAUCUGGCAUUGAAAAUAUGUUGAUGCAUUAUGUACCAGAGGUGAAGGGCGUGGAACAAGAAUUUGACGUCGAGGAAGAGGAUGUAAAGUCAACCAGCCAGAUGGAGUAAAAGAUGAGUUGGUCUAUUUAUUCUAUGUUAUGUUGAGCCACAACACUGAUCUUGAGGGUGAGCCCUUACGAGUUGGUUGUUUCAUUCUUUGUUAGAUUGAACUGCAACACUGAUCUUGAGGGGUGACCAUACGGGUACUUGUUAUUAUGCAGAGAAUAAAAAGGGCGUCAUGGUGGAAUUAUUUCAUGGUUUAUAGAGUAGAGUACCAUAUACUUUUGUUCCUUGCUAAGAAAAGAAGUCUGUGGAACUGGGAUUCCAUGGACUUACCAUAUUUUGGACAUGACGAACAUAUAUGGUAAACAUAAGAGAGAUUUGAUUGUUCAUUCAAUAAUAACAUUUUUGUUCUAUA